UUUCUUCUUGUUUUUUUUUUUGAGUGGAUACGGGAUGGACCUAGUCAACAUAAUAGGGCUGCCUCGAAGUUUCGCUUGAUUGGACCUCCUAAUCCAACAUAAACAGUUCAUCGUCGUGCUAGCGCCGAAGGAAGUUAAGAUCCAUUUUGAUUGAACGGAUGGACCAAAUAAAUUUUGGCCCAUCGAAUGCAAACAGGCUGGAAACAAAGCGUGAUUUGAAUCCAAUAAAUUUUGGCCCAUUGAAUGCAAUAAGUUUCUCUAUUGCAAGUGGGCUGCAUUUGAAUCAAUAGGCCACUCGAUCUAGCCAAAGCCCAGAGACUGGAAACAAACCUGGGCCUUCAGCCUUACGGCCUCAAUUUAUUAGAUAAUUUCUUAUUUGACAUUAGAAAAAUAACUCGUUUCUUCUUUAAACUUUAAAAUUUUUCCUUCUUUGACACCGACUUCAACUUGACACUACCGUCGAUACGGAGUACUAACAGCGUUAAGUGUAAAAUGAAAGACGUUUUUGCUCCUUAUGCAGUUGAGAUAUUCAUGCACUUGUGUAUCCAAAUUUCAAAGGAUGCACUUCAGGACCGUAGCAAGACACUGGUUGAGUUAUCCCCCAGCAAUGGUUUCUCGUCGAAGAGCUCGGGAUUUUUUGCCUCUUGCUUGUCGAAGAUCACAGGGCCUUCCUCGGACACAAAGAACCGUGUCUCCGUUUGGCCUCGCUGUCUCUUCCUCUUGCUUGUGGCCACAAUCUGAGCCGCGCAGCGCCGGCGUGGGGAGCAAGAAGGGCGGAGAGUAGAACUCGUCUCGAGCGCGACGCCGCAGCAGGCGCAAGCGAGGUCCCGCUCGCCGAGCUCGCUCCGGCUCAUCCACGACAGCAGCGCCUUCCCGGGCGCCGCCGCCGCGGCGCAGUCCUCGCACAUGUCCCCGGCGUCCGCGAGCCGGCGGUGCGCGCUGCAGUAGCCGAGGCGUGACAGCUCGGCUGCGUGCGCGUCGCAGAGGCUCAGCGCCGCCGACGCCACGGUGUGCGUGGCGGUCGAACAGGCUGUCGACGCCGAGGCGGGAGCAGAGCGCGCACGGCGGCGCGAGGUCGAAGAAGGAGGCGAACCUGGAGAUGAGGUGGAGAAGAUGCCGUUGGCGAGGAGCAGCGCGUACGCGAGCACCUGCGCGAUGCGGUUGCUCUUCUUGGACAGCGCUGCCGUGUGGUUGGCGCCGGCCAUGGGCACCUGCGACACCAUCUUCCCGCAGCCCGGCGGCCCCUUGGCAGCCGGCGGAACGCAAUCCAAGCGCGAUUAUUUAGUGGCAAGCAACCACUGCAAGAAGUCCGCUUCCGGAUAAAAAAAGAAAUAAAAAAAAAGAGGGUGAGCCCCCAGUUCAACGACGGCGCCUCUACCCGCUCCACCUGGCCUUCGAGGCCUGCGCCCGCCGCUCCCAAACGGCAGGGCCCGCUCCCGCGCGCCAGUCGGGGCUUGCGCCCGCCGCUCCCCCGCGGCCGUCGCUCACAAGCGCCCGUCGGGGAGAGAGAGAGGGAGGAAUGGAUUCCUCUGUUGGUUGGAGUUGGGGAAACGGCCCUUGGCUAGGGGUACAUUUGUCCAUUCACAAAAAAACUGACACGUCUCCAAUAGCUUUUCACGAUAGUGUCUAACCGAACUGAGAGCAGUGUCGUUUUUCUUAUGAAAGUUAAAAGGCAGUGUUAAGGAAAAAAUUUUGAGCGUCAACA
rnacentral:lncRNA from 1 species